UACGUAGGUGGCAAGCGUUGUCCGGAUUUAUUGGGUUUAAAGGGUGCGUAGGCGGCCCCAUAAGUCAGUGCUGAAAUAUCCCGGCUUAACCGGGAGGGUGGCAUUGAUACUGUGGGGCUUGAGUAAAGUUGAGGUUGGCGGAAUUGACGGUGUAGCGGUGAAAUGCUUAGAUAUCGUCAAGAACACCGAUAGUGUAGACAGCUAACUAAGCUUUAACUGACGCUGAGGCACGAAAGUGUGGGGAUCAAACAGG
rnacentral:rRNA from 1 species